CCUCCCUAGUGCCGGGACUAAAUGAAUGUGCCACCUUGCCCCGGUUGAUGCAUUUCUUAUGGAUAAAUUAUUAAAGUGAUGACUGCCAAUCGGGCAUGUGUUAGAAUAUGCAAAGCCAACUUUUGUUAGGAAGAGUAAAAUAUCCAAAUGCUCAACCCAGGAGACUAGACCUGUCAGCGACCGUUUUCACAUCCUCUCAUUUGCUGCUCUGCUGAACUAAGCAGCCAGUGUCGGUCUCUUCCUUAAGCAAAGGUGUGUGACCCAGUUUUCUCUUCUACCAAGUCUGAAGACUGGCCUGCUGAUCUAUGAAAUAGUUUGGUAUUAUACAAAAGUUUCCAUCUAAGGAUAAUUAAUGGCGGUCAAUGAGCAGCUAUAUUCUAGAAAGGAUGGAUAGGAACAUUCAAAGGCCCCAGGCAUCCCGUGAUGAGAGGAAAGAGGGUAGACAGACAGAGGAGCAGCGCCCUCUAGAAGCAGUGACUUGGUGCUGGGACAUCGAGGUGAAGGCUAGCCAGUGGCUGCUGCUGCAACGUGGUUCCCGGAUUGUGCUGAAGCUGGAGCAUGGCCGACUGAGCUCAGGUCAUCGCACCUUUACCUGUGGAGUCAUCUCAUCUUCUAGCAACAAAAGACAGGAUCUCAUGUAGUCAAAGCUGGCAUCCACUGGCAUCCACUGUGUAGGGGAAGAUGCUCUGGCGCUAAAUCUCCAAUCUUCCUCCACCUUCCAAGUUUGGAAUUCGAGGGUCCCUGGAAAGACUCCGUUUGAGCACGGCUCUGCUGCUUAAUGGAGAUUUCCAGAACAAAGCUGACCUUGAGCAGCCACUGGGAGAAUGAGAAGAGGUGGCCAGAGCCGACCCCUCUGCUUCAGCUGUCUUUAUGAGCGAUUCAGCCCCUGCUGAGUGGGCUUCACGGAGCUGAGACUGAUGGUUAAAAGCCCAGAUCGAGCACUGUGACGACACCGCUGAUGGCCCUUUCCAUUUUCCACGCUGGCUGAACAGAGGCUCGCUUCCCACCACGCCGAAGACACUCCUGGAAUGGAUUUAUUAUUCUUCCUAAUUUGUGUCUUCAAUUAGACGCAAACAGUGACUUCAUUAUGAGUCGAGGUAGGGAAAAAGGCCAAGAGCUGCACACCUGGCCAGUGUUUUUAAGACGUAGGUAAUGUUUCUUAAUCUUUUAAAGUGUCGCUAAGUUUUGGUCACCGUCUA